UUCUUCUCUCUCCUCCUCUUAAACCAAACCCAUGUAAAAUUCCCUUUUUGUUCAUCUUAAUUUCUUUCUCUGUAUCCAUGAUUAUCACUACUCAGACACCCAAAUUCGAUUGCAAAACCACUGCGAUUUCCGAUUGGUUGAAUCUGGAGACCACCUUGUGAACGGCACGGUUAAUGGGAAGGGAAAGUUAAACGUAUUAAAUACUUACGUGGUGGUGGUAUACCUACUCCAUAUGAUUAAUUAAUUUGCUAAGUUUUGAUUUUUUUAUUUAUUUUUUAUUUUUGCUAAAUAAGUUUUGAUUUUCGUCACUUCUGAUCUUUUCAAUACUCCC
rnacentral:lncRNA from 1 species